GGUUAAGCGACUAAGCGUACACGGUGGAUGCCCUGGCAGUCAGAGGCGAUGAAGGACGUGCUAAUCUGCGAUAAGCGUCGGUAAGGUGAUAUGAACCGUUAUAACCGGCGAUUUCCGAAUGGGGAAACCCAGUGUGUUUCGACACACUAUCAUUAACUGAAUCCAUAGGUUAAUGAGGCGAACCGGGGGAACUGAAACAUCUAAGUACCCCGA
rnacentral:rRNA from 1 species